CUUGAGAGAAAAGUUUGAGUAAAUGCUCUCAAUUCUUAUUCACAAAGAAUAAUGAAACAAUUACAGGAGUGAGUACAAAUGAGGGGGAGGCUCUCUAUUUAUAGUUGAGCUCCCCCAAAACCGAUGGCUACAAUUAAAAGCUAUAUUCAAUUAGGACUCUAACUUUACAGAAUUAGAAGCUGUGUACAAUUAGAACUUCUAAGACUACUUAGUCCUAUCUUCAUUAUCGGGCCCAUCAGACUUCAAUGUGACAGGCCUGUCCAACAGCUCUUUGAAUCGGGCCAGUUCUCG
rnacentral:lncRNA from 1 species